CCUGGGGAGUACGGCCGCAAGGUUAAAACUCAAAUGAAUUGACGGGGGCCCGCACAAGCGGUGGAGCAUGUGGUUUAAUUCGAUGCAACGCGAAGAACCUUACCUACUCUUGACAUCCAGAGAACUUUCCAGAGAUGGAUUGGUGCCUUCGGGAACUCUGAGACAGGUGCUGCAUGGCUGUCGUCAGCUCGUGUUGUGAAAUGUUGGGUUAAGUCCCGCAACGAGCGCAACCCUUAUCCUUUGUUGCCAGCGGUUCGGCCGGGAACUCAAAGGAGACUGCCAGUGAUAAACUGGAGGAAGGUGGGGAUGACGUCAAGUCAUCAUGGCCCUUACGAGUAGGGCUACACACGUGCUACAAUGGCGUAUACAAAGAGAAGCGACCUCGCGAGAGCAAGCGGACCUCAUAAAGUACGUCGUAGUCCGGAUUGGAGUCUGCAACUCGACUCCAUGAAGUCGGAAUCGCUAGUAAUCGUAGAUCAGAAUGCUACGGUGAAUACGUUCCCGGGCCUUGUACACACCGCCCGUCACACCAUGGGAGUGGGUUGCAAAAGAAGUAGGUAGCUUAACCUUCGGGAGGGCGCUUACCACUUUGUGAUUCAUGACUGGGGUGAAGUCGUAACA
rnacentral:rRNA from 1 species